GACGAACGCUGGCGGCGUGCCUAAUACAUGCAAGUAGGACGCACAGUCUAUACCGUAGCUUGCUACACCAUAGGCUGUGAGUUGCGAACGGGUGAGUAACGCGUAGGUAACCUGCCUAUUAGAGGGGGAUAACUAUUGGAAACGAUAGCUAAUACCGCAUAACAGUAUGUAACACAUGUUAGAUGCUUGAAAGAUGCAAUUGCAUCGCUAGUAGAUGGACCUGCGUUGUAUUAGCUAGUAGGUAGGGUAAUGGCCUACCUAGGCGACGAUACAUAGCCGACCUGGGAGGGUGAUCGGCCACACUGGGACUUAGACACGGCCCAGACUCCUACGGGAGGCAGCAGUAGGGAAUCUUCGGCAAUGGGGGGAACCCUGACCGAGCAACGCCGCGUGAGUGAAGAAGGUUUUCGGAUCGUAAAGCUCUGUUGUUAAGGAAGAACGAGUGUGAGAAUGGAAAGUUCAUACUGUGACGGUACUUAACCAGAAAGAGACGGCUAACUACGUG
rnacentral:rRNA from 1 species